rnacentral:rRNA from 1 species
GACGAACGCUGGCGGCGUGCUUAACACAUGCAAGUCGAACGGAAAGGCCCUGCUUUUGUGGGGUGCUCGAGUGGCGAACGGGUGAGUAACACGUGAGUAACCUGCCCUUGACUUUGGGAUAACUUCAGGAAACUGGGGCUAAUACCGGAUAGGAGCUCCUGCUGCAUGGUGGGGGUUGGAAAGUUUCGGCGGUUGGGGAUGGACUCGCGGCUUAUCAGCUUGUUGGUGGGGUAGUGGCUUACCAAGGCUUUGACGGGUAGCCGGCCUGAGAGGGUGACCGGCCACAUUGGGACUGCGAUACGGCGCAGACUCCUACGGGAGACAGCAGUGGGGAAUAUUGCACAAUGGGCGGGAGCCUGAUGCAGCAACGCCGCGUGCGGGAUGACGGCCUUCGGGUUGUAAACCGCUUUCGCCUGUGACGAAGCGGGAGUGACGGUAAUGGGUAAAGAAGCACCGGCUAACUACGUG